rnacentral:tRNA from 1 species
GGGGGUGUAACUCAGUUGGUCUAGAGUGCCUGUCUGUCGAACAGGAAGCCGUGGGUACCCUGCGGGAAGCCGCUCCGCGUCUACAAAUCCCAUCAUCCCCG